GAAAGCCGUAUGCUUUGGAAGAAGCUUGUACAGUUUGGGAAGGGGUUUUGAUUGAUAAAACAUGAUCUGGAUGUGAAUGAGUCAAAUUACUUCUCC
rnacentral:ncRNA from 1 species